CAUAAGAAAGUCAAUACAUCAGAUUGGGAUAUACUCAACAGAAAUGUUCACUGUCAAAGCAGAGGGAGAUACUUAACUAUGAUGAAAUGCUAAAGGAGAUACAGAAAAGAAUGGAGGAGAGAAAUCCAGCAUGAAGAUGAAGAUAUCUGCAUAAGAAUAUCCACACAAAAGGAAACAAGGCAGUUUGACUUUUAGGAAGUUCCUCAUCUAUAAAAUGAGCUGGAAAAGAAAACAACAAACAACUCCAGCACCUGGCCAAGACAACUCCAAAGAGGAUGAUGAAGAGUAAAAGCAUUUCAGGUUCGCAGUUAAUAUAAUGAACCCAGUUCUUCCUGACCCUAGGCCAACUCUUUUGAUCAUGUCAUGCUGCCUUCUCUCUGAAAAUUUUAUUCAACAUGAAAACCACAAAAA